ensembl:snoRNA SNORD24 Small nucleolar RNA SNORD24
UGCAGAUGAUGUGACUGAAUAUUUGCUAACUUGAUAUUAAUGAUGACGACCUUCCACCAAGAUCGCUGAUGCA